ensembl:lncRNA
GUGAGAAGCCAUGGCAGGUGAUGUUAAGAUUCUGCUCUGUGUAUUUACAGGGCCACGGCAGCAGUGGAGAAACCAUAACCCAAGGAAAUAAUGAGGAGAUGGAAAAUUUACCAACUAGGACAAAAAGAGAAGUAGGAAGGCAACUCAGCAAGGUACAAAGUCUCGCCUCCAAACCUGGCUGCUCAGCAGAGGGGUACAGGAGCACAAAGGCUCCAGGAGACUGUAUGCAUCCCUGCCCAUGAAGGCAGGCAGGUAGCCAUAACUGUAGGAAGAAACCGUGGUUCUCAUGAGGAAUGUGCCCUGAAAGUGAUUUUUCUUGCAUAACAAGCCAGGUUUAAAGAAUACAGGCACCACAUUCUUCAUCUUCUAGGAUAUGUGUUCACAUCUGCUAAGGAGUAAACUACUCUGGGGAGGUGGGGUGUCACUGACAAGUCCAAGCGACACAUAGCUCCAGAUGGUCACAAAAGACAGUUAUUGGAGUGGACUGGUCACCAAUCUGCUAAAUGUAAUCACUGGCUGUGGAGGCAGUGGGUCAGUGGCUUCCAUUUCUGUGACAGGAGCCUGGAACAACUGUGUCCUAAGUGGCUUCAUCCAGCAGUUGAGAGAAACAGAUGCAGAGACCCCACAACCAAACAUCAGGAGAGCUGGGGAGUCCUGUGGAUGAGUUGGAAAUAGAACUGAACAAGCCAAUGGGGUCAAGAACACCACAAGAAGAUAUACAGAGUAAACUAACCUGGGUUCAUAGGGGCCCACAGAGAUUUAAGCAUCAACCAAAGAGUAUGCAAGGGUUGGACCUACGUCCCCACACAUUUGUAGCAGAAGUGCUGCUUGGUCUUCAUGUGGAUUCCCUAACAACUGGAGCAUGGGCUGUCUCUGACUCUGUUGCCUGCCAUUUGAUCUGCUUCUCCUAGUUAGACUACCUCAUUGGGCCUCAGUGGGAGAGGAUGCACUUGGUUUCUGCUGUGACUUGAUGUCCCAGAGCAAAGUGGUACCCAACCGGGGGGCUGUCUCUCUCUCUCUCUCUCUCUCUCUCUCUCUCUCUCUCUCUCUCUCUCUCUCUCUCAGAAGGGAAAGGGUGGUGGGGGGAGUGAUGGGGCUGUGGUCUGGAUAUAAAAUGAAAAAAUUCAUCCCUCUCAUACACUCACUACACACACACACACACACACACACACACACACACACAGGCACACACGCACACAUGCACACACAAGUACACCAAGUGAGAAGCAUCCAUCAAGAACAGUAAUAAGAGGUAGGGAUGUUGUUAGCAUUCUGUCUAAGCUCCACCCCCACAGUUACCUGGCAAUAUCCAGAUAUGCCUGACACUAUAAAAGGGGCUCCCUUCUCACUCUCUUGCUCCCUUGCUCUAACCCUCUUCCCCCUUUGCCCCUUCUCUCCUCAUUCCCCUCCCCACAUCUCUCCAUGUGCUCAUGGCUGGCCUCUACUCUUCUAUGCCUCUGCUUCUCUAUACUACUAUUACUACCCUACUACCCUCUUAACUCCCCUCCCUAUGCCCUGAAUACACUCUAUUCUAAACUAUACCUCCCUAUGCCUGGUCCCUCAGGGAAAGGGAUACCUCAACAUGAACCAGCUGAGACACCCCCUCCCCCACACCUCCCGACACCUCCAUAGAAUAUAGACCCUCCUAUCUUUAUCUCUUUAUAAACACAUCAGAUGUAACCAAUCUACCAACCUUUCAAGCUUCCCUAAGGGUCUGGGCAGUAAUCCAUAGAAAAUCUGCACAUUAGAAAUCUUAGAUAGCAGGACUCUUUAAGCCAUAUCCGAGGCUGCCAUUAAAAGGCCUAUACAUACUUCUGACAGCUGUGAUCCUGAGUUACAAUUCCAGUUCAGCCAAAACUCCUAGUGAAGCAUCACUCUAGUCUUCCACCCCUCCCUAGGUUCCACAUGAACCAGGGAGGUUCUCUGUUCCAUAGCGCCCAUCCCAGACUCACUUCCAGACUUUUAUGAGGGAAAGAGACAUUGUGGCCAAAAACCAAGCAGGUCACAAGCACUAGACCCCAUGGUCACUUCAGGGAUCCAUUCCAGAGUCUUGGAACUUAGAAGCUGAGGAUGUAGGGUCUCUAUGGAGGAGCCCUGCUGCCUUGCUUUCUUGUGUUUCUGUGUUGCAAUCUGUACACUCAUUGCUUUAGAUCUUUCUUCCAUUUCCAUUUAGGGAUAUUCUUACUAAGUAACCACUCUAAAGAUCCAGUUCUCAGUACAAUCAUAACAGCCAUGCAAGGUCCAUUAUGGCCACUAACACAUCACCAGAGAGCACAAACCUGAAUGUGGAAAAACUGCCAUAGAGACGUAGAAAGCAAUGUUAAAUAAAACAAGCAAAGAGAGUAGGGAAGGGUGUUAUGAAGAGGAAGACAAUGGAUUGAAAAAUUAGAAAUCGGUAAAAAGGAAAAACCCACAUAUUUCACCAACAAUAAAAAAUUAAAAAUUAGAUAAAUUUUUAAACAAAGAAUAAAAAUAACAUCUAAGUUUUCUUUGGUCUGGAGAGACAGCUCAGUUAUUAACAGCAUUUGCUGCUCUUGUACAGGACCUGGGCUCAAUUCCCAACACCCACAUAAUGACUCAUAGCCAUCCGUAACUCCAGUUCCAGGG